rnacentral:antisense_RNA from 1 species
GGGGGGCUGCACGUUACAGAUGAGGGAGCAACACUUGAUGGCCUUUUCGUCCCGAGGCACCAGCCAGCCCGACCCCGCAACUGCCGCGGCGGGCGGGCGCGGAAGUGCGGGGAAGCCAAAGAGUCCAACCUGCUCAAAAAAAAAAAAAAAAAAAA